rnacentral:rRNA from 1 species
UUUUAAUUUAAAUUAGAAUUUAAUUUUUAAGUUAAAAAGCUUAAAUUUUUAUAAAAGACGAGAAGACCCUAUAGAUCUUUAUAAUUUAUUUAGUAUAAUUAAUUAAGAUUAAUUUAAGUUUUAUUAAUAUAAUUAUUUUAUUGGGGUAAUAGGAAGAUUUAAUAAAUUCUUUUUUAGUAUUAACAUUUAUUUAUGAUAAUAAUGAUCCAUUUUUAUUGAUUAAAAGAUUAAGUUACCUUAGGGAUAACAG